UACGGGGGGAGCAAGCGUUGUUCGGAUUUACUGGGCGUAAAGGGCGCGUAGGCGGUCGUGACAAGUCACUUGAUGAAAUCUCCGGGCUUAACUCGGAACGGUCAAGUGAUACUGUCGGACUAGAGUACAAGAAGGGGCAACUGGAAUUCUCGGUGUAGCGGUGAAAUGCGUAGAUAUCAGGAAGAACACCCGUGGCGAAGGCGGCUCUCUGGAACGCAACUGGACGCUGAAGACGCGAAAGCCGUGGGGAGCAAACAGG
rnacentral:rRNA from 1 species